UACGUAGGAGACGAGCGUUGUCCGGAGUUACUGGGCGUAAAGGGUGCGCAGGUGGCGGCGCGCGUGGGGGGUGAAAUCGCCCGGCUUAACUGGGCGGGGGCCUUCCAGACGGCGUGGCUUGAGCAGCGGAGGGGGACGUGGAAUUCCGGGUGGAGCGGUGAAAUGCGUAGAGAUCCGGAGGAACACCGACGGCGCAGGCAGCGUCCUGGCCGCUUGCUGACACUGAGGCACGAAAGCGUGGGGAGCAAACGGG
rnacentral:rRNA from 1 species